rnacentral:tRNA from 1 species
GGAAAUAUGCCCGAAAGAAAAGGACCUCCUUGAUAGGGAGGCUCAUAUGGGUUCAAACCCCAUUAUUUCCU